UCAAAAACAUGUCUAUUUGGAGGUAUAAAUAGUCUGGCCUGCUCACUGAUAUUUAUAUAUUAAAGAGCCGCGGUAUCUUGACCGUGCAAAGGUAGCAUAAUCAUUAGCUUCUUAAUUAGGAGCUGGUAUGAAUGGUUUAACAAAAGAAAAGCUGUCUCUAUUAUAUAAUUGGAAAUUAACUUUUAAGUGAGAAGGCUUAAAUUUUUCAGGGGGACGAUAAGACCCUAUAAAGCUUUAUAAGUCGAUUGAGCUCGAUUGAAUUUUAAGAUAAAAAUCUUGCACGAUUAUUCUUAUUUUGUUGGGGCGACCUAGGUAUAAUUUAUAUUAACUGCUUAAUGAGAAGACAAUGAUGAGUGAUUUACUUUAAUGAUCCUUUUUAAAGAUUAAAAGAUUAAGUUACUUUAGGGAUAACAGCGUUAUUUCUUUUGAGAGUUCAUAUCGAAAAAGAAGUUUGCGACCUCGAUGUUGAAUUAAAAUAUCUUUACAGUGCAGCAGCUGUAAAAGAAGGUCUGUUCGACCUUUAAAUUUUUACGUGAUCUGAGUUCAGACCGGA
rnacentral:rRNA from 1 species